CCAGUCGAGAUGAGUAUUCUAAGGCGCUCGGGUGAGCCGUGGAGAAGGAACUAGGCAAACUGACGCUGUAACUUCGGGAUAAAGCGUGCCAUCUUCGGAUGGCCACAGUAAAAUGGUUCAACCAACUGUUUAACAAAAACACAGGGCCCUGCAAAAUCGUAAGAUGACGUAUAGAGCCUGAUACCUGCCCGGUGCUGGAAGGUUAAGGAAGGGUGUUCGCCGCAAGGCAAAGCUCCUGACUGAAGCCCCAGUAAACGGCGGCCGUAACAAUAACGGUCCUAAGGUAGCGAAAUUCCUUGUCGGGUAAGUUCCGACCUGCACGAAUGGUCUAAUGAGUUGAACGCUGUCUCCUCCACGAGCCCGGUGAAAUUGUAGUAUCGGUGAAGAUGCCGGUUACCCGUCACGGGACGGAAAGACCCCAUGAACCUUCACUACAACUUUGCAUUGAUUUUGAGUAAACGAUGUGUAGCAUAGUUGGGACGCUAUGAAGCAGUGGCGCUAGCCAUUGUGGAGCGGUCGUUGAAAUACCAACCUUCGUUUACUUAGAGUCUAAUCCCUAACGGGAGACAUUGCAUGGUGGGUAGUUUGACUGGGGUGGUCGCCUCCUAAAAAGUAACGGAGGCUUGCAAAGGUACCCUCAGUACGGUUGGUAAUCGUACGUAGAGCGCAUUAGUAAAAGGGUGCUUGACUGUGAGGCAAACAAGCCGAGCAGGGUCGAAAGACGGCUAAAGUGAUCCGGUGGUUCUGUAUGGAAGGGCCAUCGCUCAAAGGAUAAAAGGUACUCUGGGAUAACAGGCUGAUCUCCCCCAAGAGCUCAUAUCGACGGGGAGGUUUGGCACCUCGAUGUCGGUUCGUCACAUCCUGGGGCUGGAGAAGGUCCCAAGGGUUCGGCUGUUCGCCGAUUAAAGUGGCACGUGAACUGGGUUCAGAACGUCGCAAGACAGUUCGGUCCCUAUCUGUGAUGGGCGUUAGAAAAUUGAGUGGACAUGACCUUAGUACGAGAGGACCGGGUCGUACGUACCGCUGGUGUAUCUGUUGUGCCGCCAGGUGCAGUGCAGAGUAGCUAUGUACGGACAGGAUAAACGCUGAAAGCAUCUAAGCGUGAAACCUUCCACGAGAUGAGUUUUCUUUUAAGGGUCGUCAAAGACUAUGACGUUGAUAGGCUACAGGUGUAAAGGUGGUAACAUCAAAGCCGAGUAGUACUAAUUGCCCGUACGCUUUAAUCA
rnacentral:rRNA from 1 species